rnacentral:rRNA from 14 species
AAGGUUGCACGCCAAAAUCCUGUUCAGUACGAGAGGAACGGUAGGUUCGGACAUAUGGUUCGGCACUCGCUCGAGUGGGUGUUGGUGUCUGGAGAAAAUAGCAGGGCUGGCUUUCGGGCCAGUUUCGGGAAAAAGAUCGUCCGUACGGUGGAAGAGAACCCAGUAUACAUCGGGAAGACGUCAAAGCACGGACCUUCGGGUCCACGACGGGCCGGAUUCUCGGCCGCGCGGGCUCUCGGGCCCGCUGGCCGUGCAUCAAUGGUAAACGAGGCGAUCCCGCAGAAAACGGUGUCGGUUUUCAGAAUUGUCUGCAGACGACGUAAGUACCGGGCUGGGUGUUGUACUCGGCAGAGCAGUUACCACGCUGCGAUCUGUUAAGACUGCCCUUUGCCUCGGGGGUUU